rnacentral:rRNA from 1 species
AUUGAACGCUGGCGGCAUGCCUUACACAUGCAAGUCGAACGGCAGCACGGGGGCAACCCUGGUGGCGAGUGGCGAACGGGUGAGUAAUACAUCGGAACGUGUCCUGUAGUGGGGGAUAGCCCGGCGAAAGCCGGAUUAAUACCGCAUACGAUCUACGGAAGAAAGCGGGGGAUCCUUCGGGACCUCGCGCUAUAGGGGCGGCCGAUGGCAGAUUAGCUAGUUGGUGGGGUAAAGGCCUACCAAGGCGACGAUCUGUAGCUGGUCUGAGAG